CAUGGCAAAGCUUCAGUGUCUCAUUAGAGACUGGAAAAGCAUCUGCGUUCCAGUUGGCGUGCGGCCAUUAUUAUGCAGCGGUCGGGAGAGUUGAGUCGCUCCGACCGGCAGAUAUUUACACUUUGUUUGUGGCACGAGUGUCGGUCUGACCGCUGGGCUUCUCACGCCCCCUCGGGACAAUGCGGCCCCUGUUUGAGACAUCCUGUGUACGGUUCUCUCCCUCCACCAGCGCCCCGCAGAAGCCAUCGUCUUCCUUUCAAGUCCACAGUCAUCUAACGGUCAGAGUGUGAGUGAGUGUGAGUGUGUGUGCGUGCGUGCACACCAGACACCCUGAGUCACUCGUGAUGCAGGUUCCUCUAUGUGGGAAAGCUUGACCGUGUGUGCCGGUUGCUCAUAAACAGUAGGAGCGCCGGCCCCGCCAUGUAAAACAAACUAGCCGCCGCAACAUGUCGUGGCUGCAGUUUGACUGGAGAGAAAACAGCGACCAGGCGAAAGCCUUUGAUGGGUCGACGAUCCCCCGGCUGUUUUCGGGUUUGACGAGCUGGGCCGCCGGAGGGUCAACGUCUGGCACGUUAGUACAAUUGUGGGUCGUAGGUGUGAUGCUGGAGCUGUCAAAAUAAAAAGGUCGGUGUGACCUCCAGGUGAAAGGAGCAAACAAAUACUUCUCUGACUCCAAGUGAGUUGUUGGUCUUCUCCACAGCCCUGAAAAGGACUUGAGGAGAGACCGACACGUUCCCAUUCCAGCUUGUCACAUACUGAUGCUUUGUAGAAUCUCUUGACAUCACUUAUUAACACAGUAAACACGUGGUUGACGUAGAGAAUUCAAACAAAAACACUCGGCUGGCUUUGGGCAACGGAGCCCCUUAGUUAAGUUUAUGAAAAACAUAAUAGUUGGGCUUAAAAUAACUGCGGAAAAAAUAGGUUCACCAUAAACAACGUAACUUAAGCGCAGAAGUCACAACCAUCUGUAACUUAACUCUCACCCUUCACACUUCAGCUGGUCCCAAUAGCUGAGUUUGUGUUUGUUGGUCCUUACGUCCCGUCAUCACACCGAGCCUCUGCUCAGUGUCUGGUGAUGUAAUGAUGUCACUGAUGGGUUUACAACAUAGUUAUUGAAAGCGCAGGUUUGUCUCAUACAGAAGGCAAAGGGACUGUUGUCCUUCGCUAUCAGACGCCAAGCGACGGGACAAAGCGUCGGGAUUUGAUGCCUUGGGAAUGACAACAGCCUGGCCGAGGGCUGAAACAUUUUUCUUUGCAUGUUGUGGGCAAUUUUGGGAUUUAGGGCUAUUUGGCCCCCAUAAAAUAUCUCCUUUUUAACACUCUAUGGAAGAAUAAAUCAACGAUGCCUAAUUCGGAAUAUGUAUUUUAUUACUUUUUCAGAUUCAUCAGAAGACUGCAUUACGUAAUUCCUCAUUUGCAUAUUUAAACUUUAGAUUUUAAGGAUUUGUAAUGCAGACAUGAAAUUGUCCUUAGGUAAGUAAUCAACGGGAUUCAACAUUUUUUUAAUCUGGGGUAAUUUUACACUAAUGUCUCCACUUAAAUGGGCGUGUUUGAGCUCUCUGUGGUUUCAGUAGGGCGGCUGAUGGAGGCGAUGGAGCAGCAUCGGGGGUAGUCACUGUCUAUAAAUAUUACACUCGGGGUGUUCUUCCUCUUCUCUCUUUCCUCCCGCUCUCACACACACACACACACACACACACACACACACACACACAAAUAUGUAACCACCUUUUCACCACCAACAUUUACAGCCCGUUGAUUCACUGUGUCUAUUUCACUUCCUGCGCUGUCUGCCCUCGCUAUCUAUCUGCAUUCCUUCCCUGCACGUUUCUGUCGCUCCCUCUCUGAGGCGCGGAGGCCAGAGCCUAUUUUUUUUUACUUUCUCAUUUCCUGUUUUGGGUGUGUAUCCGAUCUGCUUGUUCUCGUGCCCAGCACACAUCAAACUCAAGAGGAGACAAAAGAGACAGAGGGGAGGACCCUGGGUAAGGGAGUGAUGGCCAAACGGGAAUGUGCAUGUGGGGUGUGAGUGUGUGUGUGUGUGUGUGUGUGUGUGUGUGUGUGUGUGUGUGUGUGUGUGUGUAGAUCUGGGUGAGGGGAGUGGAAAUCCUGACUGGUGACAGAAGCAGUGAAAUCCAGAGGAAAAUGGAAAAAAGGAGAAAUGCUUCAUUAUCAUGAUGAGCACAAAAAUGGCCAAAUAAGGCCAUAGAAAUGUGUUUAACCUAAUAAGCUUUUUUUAAAGGAUUUGUGCAGUUUCCCCUUCUAAUAGUAAUUUGUUUUCAUUUAUUCUAAUUAUCUGUUUAGUCUGUCAUUUUCCCAAUUUCCUUGAACGAGGCAGGUCGAUCCGAGGGCGACGGCUGGGUACGAGCCACAGACCCACGCACAACCUCCUAUAGUCUGCUUCACAUCUCCAUUGUUGAGAAUUGGUUCCAAACUGGCUGUGCGUGUGGGCUACAGUCAAAACAGUUCCUCUGCAAAUAUUUUUAUUUUAUUCAUGCUUUGUAAUAACUUAGAAAUAUCUAUUAGCGAGUUAUACUUAAAUAACUUUGACCUCAACAAAGAGUCCUGGCUACUUCGUUCCUAACUAAAGCCAAUUUUAUAAUACUGUCUAAGAUGUUGUAGAGAUGGAUCAUGAGAGGCAAACAAAGCAAAAACCAUCCAUUUAAUUCAUCCAGAUUCAGGUAUUCUUACAAACCUUACCUGCUCUCCAGGACUGACUGGUCGCUGAGGCCGACUUAUUUGCUCGCAAUGGUGGCAACAACCUGAUUUCACUUAAAGCAAACCUGGGGAGAUCUACACAGACGCUCAACAACAUGUAAACAUUAUUAUGUUUUAGAAGUCCAAGAAACACUGGAGUAAACACACGGGGGGGGUGUAUGUGGAAAAAGGUAAAGCCAGCGGCAAACUUUUCAUCAGGUACGCUUCUUUUUCCUUUCGCAUGUUUUACUUUGGUGACACAGUGAAUAUGUGAUUUUAGGAGGUUGAUUUUGAUCAACGGGGGUUCUGUAACGGCGCCGUGCGCUGCGAGCCCUCCCCCGGACUCAACGGGUCUGUGGGCGAAACACGCAGGCUGGAACUGAGCAUCUCAACCGUGAGCGGGGGAAUUAAGAAAUGGGAGGAAGGGUGGAGCUGGAGAGGAUAUUUUAUUUGUAAAUCUGCCCGGCCCGCCACAAAAACAUAUGGCUCCAAUAAGUGUGGCCCUCCCCUCUCCCCCACACACACAGGACCCCCUGGAGUCUAGCUCUCAUUAGUGAAUUAUUAGAACCGAGAGGAGGGGA
ensembl:lncRNA